UACAGAGGGUGCGAGCGUUAUUCGGAAUUAUUGGGCGUAAAGGGCGCGUAGGCGGUUGAAUAAGUCAGAUGUGAAAGCCCUUGGCUUAACCAAGGAAGUGCAUUUGAUACUGUUUGACUUGAGUAUGGGAGAGGGAAGUGGAAUUCCUGGUGUAGAGGUGAAAUUCGUAGAUAUCAGGAGGAACACCGGUGGCGAAAGCGACUUCCUGGACCAAUACUGACGCUGAGGCGCGAAGGCGUGGGGAGCAAACAGG
rnacentral:rRNA from 1 species